CGCGGUCCUCGGUAGUGAUUUCCGGGAGUGGCCGGUGCAGCAAAUGCACAGCCGCCCGGGGGUCUCGAUCGAAGACCGGG
rfam:Arthrobacter crystallopoietes strain DSM 20117 genome assembly, contig: Ga0074718_12